rnacentral:rRNA from 1 species
CACGCCGUAAACGAUGAUUACUGGGUGUAGGGGGUAUCGACUCCCUCUGUGCCGAAGCUAACGCGAUAAGUAAUCCACCUGGGGAGUACGGCCGCAAGGCUAAAACUCAAAGGAAUUGACGGGGGCCCGCACAAGCAGUGGAGUAUGUGGUUUAAUUCGAGGCAACGCGAAGAACCUUACCAGGGUUUGACAUCCCGCGCAACGGGUAGAGAUACCCGGUUCCCUUCGGGGACGCGGAGACAGGUGG